CGCGAAAAGAUGAAUAGCUAAAAAGAUAGAAGCCUUAACGAUAUUAGUCCGCGAAGUGGUCAGCCUCGGGCUGAUAGAGAGCAAUUACCUAUGACGGAAUGGGAGAUUUAAGCUUCUCUGAGGGAAGUAUAACAAACUUUAUAGAGCUUUAUAUAGAGCUUCACCGAGCUUUAUUUGAUCUUGACAAGAUACCCGAACUCGGUCGAUUUAUGUUUUACUAAUUUUAUUAUGCCCUUUUCAAUCGGUGAUAUUACUAAGGGCCUGGACAGUUCCAACAAUGAGUUGCAUCCACACCCGUGGAGGGAGCCGGACUGUGAAGGACGAGGAUUGCUUGGCCAGACCUCGGACGCGAACCCGGGUCUUUCUGCAUGGCACGCCAACGCGUUACCACGCGGUCAUUCGGUCGCCGAUCAAUCGAUAUCGUCCUCACGAUCUGUGGCAUUUCUCGUAUGGCAUCUUACACGAAACGGAAAUCUCCAACCCCUUUCUCGAUCGUCUGCGAUCGUUUUAGACAACGUUAG
rnacentral:lncRNA from 1 species